GACGAACGCUGGCGGCGUGCCUAACACAUGCAAGUCGAGCGAAUGAAGUUCUUUCGGGAAUGGAUUUAGCGGCGGACGGGUGAGUAACACGUGGGCAACCUGCCUCAUAGAGGGGAAUAGCCUUCCGAAAGGGAGAUUAAUACCGCAUAAGAUUGUAGUACCGCAUGGUACAGCAAUUAAAGGAGCAAUCCGCUAUGAGAUGGGCCCGCGGCGCAUUAGCUAGUUGGUGAGGUAACGGCUCACCAAGGCGACGAUGCGUAGCCGACCUGAGAGGGUGAUCGGCCACAUUGGGACUGAGACACGGCCCAGACUCCUACGGGAGGCAGCAGUGGGGAAUAUUGCACAAUGGGGGAAACCCUGAUGCAGCAACGCCGCGUGAGUGAUGACGGCCUUCGGGUUGUAAAGCUCUGUCUUCAGGGACGAUAAUGACGGUACCUGAGGAGGAAGCCACGGCUAACUACGUGCCAGCCGCCGCAGUAAAAC
rnacentral:rRNA from 1 species